GGGCAAGAUCUUAAUGGAGAGGAGGAUGCUUUAGAGAGAGAAAAAGAUGGAGAGAGAGAGAGAGAGAGGGAACGGACAAGAGAGUAAAUAAUAAGAGAAAUUUAGGGGAGAAGGCUCUGAGUGGCAGAAGGUGGCUGGACACGGAAAGGCAGGUGCAGAAGGAGAGAGAGAGACCCAAAGAGAGAGAUAGGUGGAGAGCGCUUGACUGGGAGAGACCCCGGGAUCGAGACACAGAGAGACACUGAGGAGGCACCAGAAGGAAGCUGGAGGAAAACAGGAGAGGGGCCAGGCUCCGAUGGAUGAAGGAGGGAGAGGGACGCAGCUGUGAACAGUGAUGGUCACCGAUAUAAAUUGAGCGCCAAAUAUUACAGACUUGAAGUCAUUUGCAGGCAUUGCCUUGGUCUUCCGGCUUCUGUCAUUAGCCCCCAUUUCAAAGAUGUGGAGACUGAGACUGAGAGAGGGUCCAGAAGUGGCAGAGAUUCAGAGCAAGCAAUUCUCCUGCUGUCCUAUGUCAGAGAGGGCCACGUGGUGAAGACCCGAGGAUGACAUCCGCUAGCAAGAACACAGGAACAAUGUCAGGUGUACAAUCACAUGGAAAUGAUCUCUCUCUCCUGAGGGAGGUUGGGAGUGGACCUCUCCCUAAUCGAACUUCCAGAUGAGGAUGCGGCCAGCCGGCAUCUUGAUUGCAGCCUUGGGAAGCCCCGAGCAGAGGACCCCGUGCCCUGUACUGGCAUCCUGCGCCAUGGAAAGUGUGAGAUAAUAAAUACA